rnacentral:rRNA from 1 species
UACGGAGGGUGCAAGCGUUAUCCGGAUUUACUGGGUUUAAAGGGUGUGUAGGCGGGUCUUUAAGUCAGUGGUGAAAUCUCCGAGCUUAACUUGGAAACUGCCAUUGAUACUAUUGAUCUUGAAUUCUGUUGAGGUGGGCGGAAUAUGUCAUGUAGCGGUGAAAUGCAUAGAUAUGACAUAGAACACCAAUUGCGAAGGCAGCUCACUAAGCAGAUAUUGACGCUGAGGCACGAAAGCGUGGGGAUCAAACAGGAUUAGAUACCCUGGUAGUCCACGCCCUAAACGAUGAUUACUCGACAUACGCGAUACACAGUGUGUGUCUGAGCGAAAGCAUUAAGUAAUCCACCUGGGAAGUACGACCGCAAGGUUGAA